rnacentral:rRNA from 1 species
GAUGAACGCUGGCGGCGUGCCUAAUACAUGCAAGUCGAGCGAACAGACGAGGCGCUUGCUCCUCUGACGUUAGCGGCGGACGGGUGAGUCACACGUGGAUAACCUCCCUAUCAGACUGGGAUCAUUUCGGGAAACCGGCGCUAAUACCGGAUAAUAUCUUGAACCGCAUUGUUCAAUAGUGAAAGACGGCUUUUCUGUCUCUUCUAGCUGGAUCCGCGCCGCAUUAUCUAGUUGUUAAGGUAACGGCUUACCAAGGCGACGAUGCGUAGCCGACCUGAGAGGGUGAUAGGCCACACUGGAACUGAGACACGGUCAAGACGCCUACGGGAGGCAGCAGUAGGGAAUGGGCGGCAAUGGGCGAAAGCUUGACGGAGCAACGCCGAGUGAGUGAUGAAGGUCUUGGGAUCGUAAAACUCUGUUAUUAGGGAAGAACAAAUGUGGAAGUAACUAUGCACGUAGUGACGGUACCGAAUCAGAAAGCAACGGCUAACUACGUG